AUUGAACGCUGGUGGCAUGCUUUACACAUGCAAGUCGAACGGCAGCGCGGGCUUCGGCCUGGCGGCGAGUGGCGAACGGGUGAGUAAUACAUCGGAACGUGCCCAGCAGUGGGGAUAGCUCGGCGAAAGCCGGACUAAUACCGCAAACGACCUGAGGGUGAAAGCGGGGGAUCUUCGGAUCUCGCGCGAUUUUAGCGGCCGAUGGCAGAUUAGCUAGUUGGUGGGGUAAAGGCCUACCAAGGCGACGAUCUGUAGCUGGUCUGAGAGGACGACCAGCCACACUGGAACUGAGACACGGCCCAGACUCCUACGGGAGGCAGCAGUGGGGAAUUUUGGACAAUGGGCGAAAGCCUGAUCCAGCAAUGCCGCGUGUGUGAUGAAGGCCUUCGGGUUGUAAAGCACUUUUGGCGGGGACGAAAAGGACUGUGCCAAUACCACGGUUCGAUGACGGUACCCGCAGAAUAAGCACCGGCUAACUACGUG
rnacentral:rRNA from 1 species